rnacentral:rRNA from 1 species
GAUGAACGCUGGCGGCGUGCCUAAUACAUGCAAGUCGAGCGAACAGACGAGAACUUUGUUCCUUUGAUGAUAUCGGCAGACGUGUGUGUAACACGUGGAUAACCUCCCUUAAAGACUGAGAACACUUCGGAACACCGGCGCUAAUCCCGUAUAAUAUAUUGAUCCGUGUGGUUCACUAGUGAAAUACGGUUUUACUGUUACUUAUAGAUCGAUCCGCGCCGUAUUAGCUAGUUGGUAAGGUAACGGCCUACCAAGGCAACGAUGCGUAGCCGACCUGAGAGGGGGAUCGGCCAAACUGGAACUGAGACACGGUCCAGACUCCUAAGGGAGGAAGCAGUAGGGAAUCUUCGGCAAUGGGCGAAAGCCUGAAGGAGAAAGGCCGCGUGGGUGAUGAAGGUCUUGGGAUCGUAAAACUCUGUGAUUAGGGAAGAACAGAUGUGUAAGUAAAAAUGCACGUCUUGACGGUACCUAAUCAGAAAGCCACGGCUAACUACGUG